rnacentral:rRNA from 1 species
AACGAACGCUGGCGGCAUGCCUAACACAUGCAAGUCGAACGAGACCUUCGGGUCUAGUGGCUCACGGGUGCGUAACACGUGGGAAUCUGCCGUACGGUUCGGAAUAACAGUUAGAAAUGACUGCUAAUACCGGAUAAUGACGUAAGUCCAAAGAUUUAUCGCCGAAGGAUGAGCCGGCGUAGGAUUAGCUAGUUGGUGGGGUAAUGGCCUAUCAAGGCGACGAUCCUUAGCUGGUCUGAGAGGAUGAUCAGCCACACUGGGACGGAGACACGGCCCAGACUCCUACGGGAGGCAGCAGUGGGGAAUAUUGGACAAUGGGGGAAAGCCUGUUCCAGCAAUGCGGCGUGAGUGAUGAAGGCCUUCGGGUUGUAAAGCUCUUUUACCAGGGAUGAUAAUGACAGUACAUGAGGAGGAAGCCCCGGCUAACUACGUGCCAGCCGCCGUAACAC